rnacentral:rRNA from 1 species
GGCCUACGGGGGGCAGCAGUGGGGGAUAUUGCACAAUGGGGGGAACCCUGAUGCAGCGACGCCGCGUGGGCGAUGGAGUGCUUCGGCAUGUAAAGCUCUAUCAGCAGGGAAGAAAGAAAUGACGGUACCUGAGUAAGAAGCCCCGGCUAACUACGUGCCAGCAGCCGCGGUAAUACGUAGGGGGCAAGUGUUAUCCGGAAUUACUGGGUGUAAAGGGAGCGUAGACGGUAAUGCAAGUCUGGAGUGAAAGGCGGGGGCCCACCCCCCGGACUG